rnacentral:rRNA from 1 species
UAAGUUUGAUGGCGACCGGCGCACGGGUGAGUAACACGUAUCCAACCUGCCGAUGACUCGGGGAUAGCCUUUCGAAAGAAAGAUUAAUACCCGAUGGCAUAGUUCUUCCGCAUGGUGGAACUAUUAAAGAAUUUCGGUCACCGAUGGGGAUGCGUUCCAUUAGGUUGUUGGCGGGGUAACGGCCCACCAAGCCUUCGAUGGAUAGGGGUUCUGAGAGGAAGGUCCCCCACAUUGGAACUGAGACACGGUCCAAACUCCUACGGGAGGCAGCAUG